rnacentral:rRNA from 1 species
UACGAAGGGGGCGAGCGUUGUUCGGAUUUACUGGGCGUAAAGGGCGCGUAGGCGGCUUGGCAAGUGGAUGGUGAAAUCCCUCGGCUUAACCGAGGAACGGCCGUCCAAACUGCUUCGCUUGAGACCGGGAGAGGUGAGUGGAAUUCCCAGUGUAGCGGUGAAAUGCGUAGAUAUUGGGAGGAACACCAGUGGCGAAGGCGGCUCACUGGACCGGUACUGACGCUGAAGCGCGAAAGCGUGGGGAGCGAACGGG